UUUUGCCCAUCCAGGACUUUUACUUAGAAAAAUGCUGUACAUUAAUUACACCAUUAAGUCACCAUAACUCUCUGUGAUGGCCAGAGAGGAAGUUUUAGAUGUAUUUCAGUUCUCUAGACUCAUCCACAUAGGUAUGCUGCUCCUGAUCAUCCCAAGAGUUUUCUCCAUCUCCAGUCAGACUCCAUUCACAAACAGAACACUGCACCUUUCCUGCAGCUGGCCACCAUUAAACUUUCAGGAGGAUCUCAGUGCAUCGAAGACGGAUUUUGUGGAGUCUGAAGUCAUCCUGAGUGCUGUGGAAACAGAACAGAAGCCCAUGUUUCAGCCAGGAUUGCAAUGGCCUCCUCCCAUGGGAAUCACAGCUGCAUAAAUAGUAGGGAAGCCCUCAGUGGAAUUGCUUCCAACACCUUUCUAAUGGAAAUAAUGAUUUGCAAAGUCCAGUUUAUACCUUUGCCACAUAAUUAGUAGCCAAGAUUAAAAACAUUGUUCCAACUCCCAGCAUCGUUGAAAUCUGGCAAAACCUUAAAUAUUCCACUGUGUUCCAAAAAGGUAGCCCAUAAGUGAUCAUUGUAAGGACACUCUUAGCCAGUUCAGUCAAGCCCUUGAAUCAAUCAGCACUUAUUAUAUGGAAAUUAACCAGUUUGAUGUCAAUUAGUGGAAAUUUGUUAGCACACAUAACCUAUGAAAUGUUUUAUUUUGAAUUCCUUGCUCUCCUCUCUGAAGCUAGCUAAGAUGGGGCUAAGGACCUAGCCACACAUUUCUGAAGGCCUAGAGUAGAAUUAAUUAAAAAAGAAGCAGAAUGAAGCUGUAGUCAAAUACACAAAAACUCUACUGUCUAUAAGGCACAACAAGAAGAAGGAACUGGAUAUCAGACUUUUUUCCUGCAAGGAAUCAAUUUCUAGUCACAGAUUUGGGUGCAUAACAGUCUAUUCUGUAUGUGUCAAUACUGAGUAUAGGGAGAGAGUGUAGAAGUGUAUCUAGUCUAACGGCAGUAUGUACCCUAAUUUUGUGCUACUUUAGAAGUCCUUUUCUACCAUGUUCUUAUACAUUAUAUUCUCAUAUUAAGAAAGUAAUAGCUUCUAAAUUAAAAAUGUCCAACUUAAUCAUUAAUUUUCCUCCUAAAAAUAAUGUAAAAUAACCUAUAAAAGUAAAAAAAAAAAAAAAAAGAAAAAAAAAGAAAAAAAGUCUGGCUGCUCAAGCCAGAAAGGGUGAUGAAAGACUUCCUCAAGUCUUAAGAACUUUACUUGUCUGGCACACGCGGUGGAUUUGACUUUACUGUGAAUUCUAACUUUUGUUUAAAAUUAAUAAAGUACCCUCAC
rnacentral:lncRNA from 1 species